GAACAGACUCCCACAUUUGCAGCGACUGACACGGGCUUUUGUUUCUACCCAGAUCCCCAGGAGUCUGUGGAGCACCCAGAGACGUGCAUCCUGCUGACAAGGCAGAAAAAGAUGUGUUCCAACACUUCAUUUUAAUAUUUGGCUGUCUUAGAACACGGGAACCCUCAUCAGCCGUGUCUGUGGUGUAUGUUCACCUGGGCUGUUCCUCAGGCAGCUCCUGAAAUGCUUUCCAGCCAGAGUGUGAAGGCUCUGGAGCAAUCACCUCAUGUAGCAAUUGAAAGCUCAGGGAACUGCUGGGGAUCACAGUUCUCCUGUGGGAGUCUAGGCAGAUUACACAGUCAUUAACCCCAUGGAGUAAAGGAGGAGCCGUGCAUCCGACAGCUGUGUGCUAACAAUAAGCAGACAGUAGCCACGCCAUCAAAGAUGAGUCUUGCUGCUAACUGGUUUCCUCACAAUUUCGCACAAUCCAGAUUUAUAAACUGAACUCUGUGGAAACUUUGGACUAUAAUUAUGAAGCUGUCAUGAAAUUUCACUGUUGCCUGGACAGUUCCAUAAGAACCCCGGAAUGUCUGCAUUGCUUCUGUGUACUGACUCCAGCCCUGGGGAUUUGGAACACCACUGCAGUCCUGAUUCUAACACUCAAGACCUCAGCUUUGCCCAAGACGUCUGCUUUGCUGUUCUUCUCAGCACAGGCUUUUAAAAGAAAAACAAAUCAAGCAGUGCAUCCCAUCCUCUACUCUGAGACCCAUCUCAGGCUUUACAGAAUCAAUAAAGGAGUGCGGAAUGCUAAGGGGCUGGUCUGGAUGGCAAUUAAGCAAGAAAGGAGACAUUAGGCAAAGACAGGAAAGCAAGAAAGCACCUGGUAACACACUAGGCGGCCAGACUGACAGUCCAAUCCCAUGAACAUGUACUGAGCAUCACCCAUGUCUUCUCACCACUACUGGGAAUGCAUGGGAAAGAGGAAACUCAUGAAAACCUUAAACACAAUUUCCAUGUCCAAGGAAUUUACUGGGCCUUUAGGAAGAUAAGUAAAUCAAUUUUUUUUUUUUUUAAAAAUGGCAGCCUACAACUAAUGUAUAAAAUUUGUAAAAUACUGAGCAUAAAUGUCAGAGAAGACUUCAGUAACAAGAAGUCACUAGACUCGAAGCAAAACCAGGCCUGGGUAAGACAAGACACUAUUUGAAAUAACACAGAGUAGGCAUUUGUCCAAGUUGGCGUCCCUGCUGCUAUGAUGAAACACUGACCAGAAGCAAUGGGGGUGGGGGGGGGGGAUGAGUAAAGAAAGGGUUUAUUUCAGCUUCCAGGUCACAGUCCAUCAUCAAGGGAAACCAGGGAAGGAACUCACACAGGCAUCUAAACCUAGAGGCAGAACCGGCAUAGAGAUUGUGGAGGAAAUCUGCUUACUGCCUUGCUUUCCAUGACUUGCUCAGACUACCUUCUUAUAUAACCCAAGACCACCUGACCAGGGAUGGAACUGAACUCCCCACAGAGGUUAUUGCCCUGCAUCUAUAAAAAGCUCUAAAGCAUAAAACGCAGCAGGAGAGUGGCUGAAAGCAGAACGCUAGUGCGUGCUUGUUUGUUUGUUUGUUUGUUUGUUUGUUUUUCUAGUUCAAAACAGCCUUCUAACAGUCCAGCUGUUUUACCAGACCCAUCAGAAGCUUGUGCAGCUACGGUAAAUGCAGAUAUGAUACAUCUCAAGCUGGUAGCAGAACUUAAGGUUUUACAAGCAUUCAACAUCUAAGAGUCUGAGCUAUAGAGUGUUGAACCAUGGUUGCACAGGUGCUGAGGAAACCAAGCACUAUGUGAAUUGGCCAAGGAUACAGUAAUUGCUCAGCCAGUUAGACUGGAAAUCUCAGCUGUCCCAUUAUGAUUCUUAAGGCUUGGAGGAUUCCUGGAGAGAUGCUGGUCUUCAGUCUGUAUUUGGCCCCCAAUGAAGCAGGUCCUAAUAUCAGUGAAGGAAUGCAGCAGCCACAGAACAAAUAAACCUGUAACCAAGAAUUAAGCUCACACAACUCCUGCACCUAAGUCUCAGCAACCAUCAUGGGAGAGAGAACAGGCAGAUCUUAAGAGUCAGAGGAGUAGGAAGUCUGCUGUAUGACUUUGUGUCCUAGAAAUGAAAAGGAAGCUAUACCCAUAAUACUUGAGCUGUAUGAUUAUCUAAACAAGACCCAAAUAAUCAAAGUAGUUGCCUGAUAGCUAAAGGCUGCUGGGAGAGGGAGAAUUAGUCUCUCCCAAGGAAGGGCCCCUCGGAGAGGUUGGUUAUAUUAUGAAAAGUAGUCAGCCCUGAAAUCACAUACACACAAACCACACUACCCAGACUCAGGUUGCAUUUAUAUAUUUUUACGCAUGUGUAUGUGUGUGUGUGUGUAUAUAAAACAAUAAUAAUAAUAAAAAAGAAGUCAUCAGUUUGAAGGGUGGCAUGAGAGAGGUUGGAGUAAGAAAAGGGAAGGGAGACGUUUUGUAAUUAUAUUGUAAUUAAAAGGAAUGUUUUAACACCCUUUAUGACACAGUUAAAAAAAAAAAAAGAACAAGGAGGAGGAGGAGGCAGAAGGAAGGAAGGAAGGCAUCAAAAACCCAGGUUUCCUUCUUCUGUGUUCUUUAUUUCUGGGCUGCUAGCCACAUUUAGGGUGGGUCUUCCCACUUCAAAUAACCUGAUUAAGAAAGUCUGUCUUAGAAAUGCCAGCAGCUUGCAUUUUAGUGGCCUCUAGACUUAGUCAAGUGGCCAUAGCACAUGACACUGUAAAUUUUCCCUCAAGGGCUCUGAAGAGGGAGUUCAGGCCACUUAGUGGUGAACAGGAAAAUAAGUCGCCACCUGCACCAUCUAUGAUCCAGUGGAACUGUAACUGAAUUGACAUUUCCUUGCAAAUCUGUAAGUGCCAGCUACAGUGGUGACACUUUGUAUUUCUUCUGUAUUGGAAAUGCUUUUGUAUUUUAAGGAGCUGACAAUAGAAGCCAAGCGAGAAAGAGGAGCAACUGAGUGUUAUCUCCUCCAAUUCAUUUAACUGUCAUUCACUUUUAUGCCUCUCCCACUGGGUUCUCUGAGAGCCUAGCUUCUCUGAAACACGCAGCCCAGGUACCUUGCCCCACUCUGUAUUCCAAAUGGGAGCACAGGCAUCUAGGUGGUAGAGGCUGGUGAUUAAGGGCAGAUAUUUUCCUUCCUGAGAAAGUCUUUGCUCCCUGUGGUUUUGCUGGGAGACGCUCUCCCUUCAAACAAAGUAGGUCGUGGAAGCUUCCUUCUGUAGUUUUAGCUCUUUCUGGUUGGCCUGGCAUCACUGGAUUCUCUGGCUUCAUUAGCUCUGGGUAGCACAUGUUCUGCUGCUGCCAGUCUUGGAGGGCCCCAUCAUCUAGUUUACUUCCCAGGCACCAUCAUUCCUUCCUUCCCUAGACUGCAUAGGCUUUUGUACCUGGGUCUUUCCUUGACCUUUCAACUUAAAACUUCUGAAUGGCAAAAAUUUAAUACUAAUCACAUUUUUUCCCCUUUCUUGACUAUGCUUAUACAUCAUAUCAAAAAACUCUUCCCAAUACAAAACAAUCAAAAUCAAGAUUUCUUUCCAUGGUUUCUUACAGUGUUUUAGUUUUACAGUUUAUGUUUAAGAGUAUGACCUCUUUUGAGUUAGUUUUCUAUAAGGUGUGGUGUGUAAAUAAAGGUUAAUUUAAUGGACUGUGUGUGUAAUUAUUAUAGCAUCAUUUGUUUUUAAUAAAAGACAUAUUAUUAUAAAAACAAUUCUCUUUUUUCACAGUGAAAAAGUCUUAGAAUUAUUCCAAUUAUUCUCUCCCAUCCUUGAUAUUAAUUUUGUCAUUUAUUUUACUCUCCAUAUGCUACUUAAAAAGCAACAUAUUGUUACUGUUUAUUUUCAGUUAAGUCCAAUUGACCUGUACAGGUUGUUACCUGCCAGGAACCUAGUAGUACUGUGUCCCAAGACCACCUUUUCCCUUAGAAACCCAGUGGUCACAUGGGACUGACUUAAUGUCACUGAAAUGGAUUUUCCUAGUCCAGCCAGAUACGCUUCCAGGAAUGGUCUCAUCUUGCACUGUGGGACUUUUUGUCCCAGAGUGCUAUUGGGCUGGUUGCCUUGGCAGAAUGUGUCUGUGGUUGUGAGUUGCUGAACACAACAAGCUUUAAACAAUUUCAUCUUCUUCCAUUGAACAUGAUAAGUGAUAAUAGUUGUUUAAAUAUGAUACUCAAAGUAAUUUUCAGAUCACUCAAAAAUCUGCAGGUAAUAGCCAUCAACCUCCUAUGAAAAGUACGUCAGAUAUGUGUAAUGCUGUUUUAAAAAUAUCUAGACUUCUCUUAAAGUGCUUAUUUGUGGUAUGUGUGACUUUUUAAAAAUUAUGUUUUUUAACAUUGUAUUUCAUGAAGAAAACAAUUUGUGAAAGUAUCUUCUUUUCCUUUGGGGGUUUCUGUAUUUCAUAAUGUUUUACAAUUGAAAAAUAUAGUAGUGGGCAACACAAAUACCCAUAAAAGAGAAAAGUGAUUAAGAGAUAGCCUUGUAAUUGCAAUACAGGACAAACGUGUGUUUAUGUUUCCUCCAUGUAUGUCUUCAGUUAUUUUAAUCAUUCAUUACUCACAAAUGACUCCAUUUUGAAAAGACUAUUACUUUAAGAUCAUUAAAGAAUGUCUCAAAUAUUGGAAGUAAAGACAAAAUAUGUAACUGAGUGACAGGGAUGUAGGUGAGCAGCAGAGUGUAUGAAGCUUGGAGUCACUCUCCAGCAAAGAAAGGAAGGAAGAAAACAAGGAAGGAAGGGAAGGAGGGAGAAAGGAAAGAUUGCUGUUCAGGAGAAAAAUGAGACUUCUACUUGUUUUCAAAUUUUUAAACAAGAGUUUAUAUAUUUUUCUACUUUUUUGAAACUUCAGAAAUGAAGCAAGUCCAAUUGGAGAGCUGUUGGUUACCAUUCAGGUGUGCUCGUGCAUGCCACUACUGUGCCCUGAAGCUUAUCAUGUCAUGCUGGUUCUUGUACCUCAUGGAUGUCAGAGCUGAUUAGAACUGUUGGUUGUCUCCUUUCUCCUUUGGGAAGCUUGCAAGGUGCUUUCUGGUACCAUUUUUUUUAAAGAUAAAAAAUAAGCAACCAAAACCCAAAAAAGUGAAGCAAAGCAUUUUUAGUAUUUCUUCUGGGAAGAAACUUUAGCUAACUAUUUGCUGAAGAAGAAACAAUGUUGCUAUUUACCCUCAGUGAUUGGCACAGUAACUUGCCCUCCACUUCCCCAUCCUUCUUUUAGAUAGAACUAUUGUGACAACAACCCCCACCCCCCCCCACCCCUCCCCCGUGACAUAUGUGAGUGCCACCCUUUUUAAUUACAUUGAAGCAACUUCAUGGUAUGUUUACUGCAUUGCAGAAUGCAAUUAGGCCCCGUGUGAUGAGCAAGGAAGCAUAAGAAAACAGCUUUGCAGGGGAGUUAAGAUUGAUAGACCCGGCCCUACUUGGUGAUUAGGGGAAUAAACUACAGCUCGUAACCUGUGCAGUACAGAUAACAACUGCAACGUAAUUUUCAGCAUGAAUGAACCAGUAUGGUCCAGUGACAGCAAAUUUCACUGUGAAUGUGAGAUUACAAUGGAGGGCUGAGAGGAGAAGAGAAAAUGGAAGUGCUUAGAAGAAAAUGAGUUGAUAAGAAAAAAAAUUUGAAGACCUGAAUUUUACAGGCUAUUCUUUGGUUUAUCAGAAAAACAAGAAACACCAGAACUAGAGGCGAUACAAAUAACCCCUACCAUGGUGGAUUUAUUUUUUGCUGUUAUUAUUUUUUUUACAUCACAUAUAAACACAGCAAAUUGUUACUGUUUCUACACCAGCUUCAAAACAGAACUUUGGAAAGUAUUUGGGGCUGGAGAGAUGGUUCGCUGUAUAAAGCGCUCGCCUUACAUGUGUGAGGACAGGAGAUCAGAGCCCACCACAAGUGUGUAAAAUCCAGGCAGGCCUGGUGGCCCAUCUGCAAUCCCAGCACUUGGGAGGUGACACUCCCCAGUGCAAGCUGGCUACCUAGAAGAGCCCACCACAGUCAACCUGCUCCAGUGAGAGACACUGACUCAAUAGAUAAGGUGGAAAACCAUUAAAGAAGGCAUUCUACGUCAACCUGGGGCCUCCGCAUGCACGCUCCUAAGGGUGUGCCCACACAUUGCAAACAGCCACAUUUAUAUCACACACACACUUGUAAAAAUAUUUAAAAUACCAAGUACUGUGGAAAACAUUUUGAAGUUAAAAUACUCAUGUCUUAAACAGAAUGAUGAAAUAAUUCUUCAGGGCCCCAAUUCUAUAGUUUUGUUUGUUUGUUUGAUUUUUGGGGAGUGUUUUAGGAUAUCUAAGUUAUCAUAUAGAAAGUUAUCAAAACAAAACUAUGAAAAAGAGUAACAAUAAACUCUUACUGAUCUCCUUGGAUGUUAUGAUUUUAUUAUUUUAAUUAACUUUCACAAAAUUAUGAGAAAUAGGCAAUGAAAUAACAUCUUCCAUAAACAAAAUGUAAUGAAUAAAUUUAAUAGUAAUUUGAUCACUACAGUAAAUUAUUAAAUGUAUUUGUAAAUAUAUUUAAUAAUCAUAGUAAAUUGAUUUUUUGUUUUUCUUUUUGAAAUUAUUACAUAAUUAAAAUAUUUCUCCAUUUCCAUCCUUCCUCUAAACCUUCCCAUAUACCCCUCAUAGUUCUCCUUCAAAUUCAUGGCCUCUUUUUUCAUUUAUUAUUAUAACAUGAUUAUAUAUGUAUAGAUAUGCAUAUAUAUUUCCUAUAUUUAACCUGCUCAGUACAUACAAUGAUACUAAUAUGUAUGGGAAGCUACAAGGCCUCAACGCUACACAAAGAACGACAUGCAACUCAGGAAGGCUGAGAGUGGGAGAAAUCGUCUUCCCCAGGGAAGAGCACACCAAUCAGUUAUCCAAUACCAAGGUGGUCACCCCUGAAACAUACAUACCAGUGACAUUAUGCAGACUGAGCAAGUUACAUUUAGAAAUAUAUGUAUAUAUAUCUAUAUCUACAUAUAUGUAUAUAUUUCUACAUAUAUGUAUAUACAUUUCUACAUAUGUAUAUGUAUGUAUUAUAUAUGUAUCUAUGUAUAUAAACAUAGAUAUGUAUAUUUAGAAACAUGUAUAUAUACCUACAUAUAUUCUUGUAAUAACAAUUAAUGAAAAAAGAGGACAUGAACUUGAAAGAAAACGAGGGAAAUGUAGGAGAGUUUUGAGGAAAGAAAAGGAAGAAAUCAUGUAGUUAUAUUAUAAACUCAAAAUUAAAAGAAAAAACAGAAAUAAUAUCUGUUAAAAUGUGUUAGGAAAAAGUAAAUGUUUUAAUUUCAACUAAUGACAAUGAAGUACUUAGAGGUUAAUGUCUUAACCUUACCCAAAGAUAAUCCCUCUUAGGGUGCUUUUAAAUAAAUUGACAGAUACUAUUAUUAGAGGUUGACAUUUUCUAUACUGCAGUUGGAAAGGAGAGUUCAGAUUGAUGCAGGAAUCAUGUAUUAUUGCAUCUGUGUUUUAUAAUAUAAACAUAAAAAUUGCUAUCAUAACUGAAUUGGGAAGAUUAAAAUAGAAUUGCACAAAGUGAAAUACUGCAUGUGGAGUAUAAAUAAGUGGAAUGUCAAAUGGGUGCUUCAUUUAUCACACAAAUCCAAAGUCUGCAAGAAUGAAAAUGUAAACAUUCUAGUUUUCUUAUAUUUUUUGAAAAGCAAAGGGACACACAUGGAUGUACAUUUUUAUUUCAUUAGUCUCAACAAGUGAUGUGAUUCCAGACAAGCCAUGAAAAAUGUUCAGUGAAUGGCUGAUAAAUGGAUGAAGAAAAUGCUCUGCUUCUGUGAUUGAAAAAUAUGAAUUAAAACCACAGUGUGUUGUCCCUGCAUGAUUACCAGAAAGAUUACAGUUUAAAUGACUAUUCUUGAGGAUAUUGGACAAGGGAAGCUGCUGUGAGAUAUCUUUCUGUAUGCUGUGAAUAUAUGCUGUUUCCAUUGGUUAGUGAAUAAGGAUGUUUUGGCCUAUGACAAGAAAGUUUAUAACCAGGCAGGAAAUCCAAGUAGGGAGACAGAGAGAAGAAGGGUGGAGUGAGGAAGACACUGGCCACUGAGCAAGGAGCAGCAAGAUGCCCGCAGACCGGUAACGCCAUGGCCACGUGGCAACUUAUAGAUUAAUAGAAAUGGGUUAAUUUAAGAAGGAAGAGUCAGCUAGCAAGAAGCCUACCAUAGGCCAUACAGUUGGUAAUUAAUAUAAGCCUCUGAGUGAUUAUUUUAUAAGCAGCUGCAGGACUGUGGGGCCAGGUGGAACCGGAGAAACUUCCCACUACAGGAGGCAUUUUGUUUUCAAUACUAGGAAAAUGUAGUUUUGGAAAGAGUUCAACAUUGUCUAGUAGUGAAUAUAUGCAUUCCAAAAGACCAAUAACUUCCAUUAACAGUGAAAGGUGACAUUUCUGACCACAGGGUUUAGCAUGGAGUUUAUAUCAUAUGAUUAGAUUAUGGAUCUACAAAAUUUCCUGAUUAAUUGAAUACAAUACAGAACUACAAAGCAGAACUUUAAGAUUUGGGGCUGGAGUAAUGGAUGGGUGAUUGGCUGAGAUAGUGAGGACCACAGGUCGACCAGGGAACCCUUUUUGAAUUUGCAAUGCUGAUUUGGUGUUAAAGCAGAGAUGCUAAGUGAGCUAUUCUUGUGCAAAGGGCUGAGCUGUGAUUGGGAAUCUAGAGUUGUUCCAUAGAUGAUUGUUAUAGUUAUACCACUAGCUUGUGCUAUUGAGGAAGUAAUUAGAAACAAUGGAAGAGAGACCGGUCCCUGAUUAUAAUUACAGUAAACAUUAAAAUGUGACUGCACUAUGAAAAUGAAGAAACAAGUUAAUAAGAAUGCAUCCCAGGCAUUUCCCAACUGCCUUGGAGCUCUUUCCUUGUACCUACAAGUCACUUUCCACAACCACCUUAUGCUGAUUUCCCCUCUAACACUCUCUGUCCUAAUGAAUGUCUCCCUCAGUCUCCCUCAUUCAUCCAUCUCCCACCUGCUUUCCAGGAAACAUCCAAAGUUUUCUGACCUGAUUAUUCUCAAGUUCUUGCAAAUUUCUACUUUGUAACAGAUAGUAGUUUAUGGUACUUGUGUGAGUUUCCGUCAUGGAAAAAACACCUAUGCAAGUUGUGAACUUUCUCACAUAAUUAUGUAAUUAUACAAUGAAAAAUAAAUGAACAAAUAUAAAAGACAACAAUAUUUUCUUCAGAAAACCAGACACAAGACCCAUUGCUUUCUUGAGAUUAAAAUGCUUAAACUUUAUGGUGUUACUUUGUCUGAAUGAAUUCAUGUAAAAUUGUAACUGAAAAAAAUUAAUAAAUGGAACCACAUUGUUUUUUUUAUGUGUAUGUAUGUAUGUAUGUGAUGUGUGUGUGUUUGUGUGUGUGUGUGAGUAUGUGUGUGUGUAUAUAUGCAUGUGUUCAGAUGUGUGUAAGUGCACUUGUGGGUGAAUGUAGGUUAUGAGUAUAAGAAUGCAUGUGUAUGGAGCCUGAGGCUAAUGGGAGUUUCCACUCCUUGCUCUUGGCCUACUCAUAAAUGUGGGCUCUCUCAGGUGAACCCCGAGCUCUGUGAUAUUGCUCAUAUAGCUAAAUAGCUUACUCAGGAGAUUCUCUGCCUCCUGCUUUCCAGCUCCAGAAUUACAGUUGGGCUGCCAGGCUCACUGGCAUUUACAUGAAUUCUGAGGAUCCAGUGUCUCUGGUCUUCAAGCUUGCUGCUAACAUAGCAAAGCUUUAAGUACAGAGCCAUCUCCCCACUUUCUUAAUGUGCAAUUAUAUCAGUAAAGGAAUCUGCAGUAUAAACACAUGGUAAGAGAAGCAGUGACCCUUCCAUUCCUUGCUUUGAUUUUCUAUUUUUCAAUUUUGAUUUUAUUUUUCUAUUCUUCCAUUAUAUCUGUAAAAGGAAACACAGGAUAAAAAACUAGAUGGAGAAAAGUAAGUAAUCCGUGUUUACUAAACUAUGCCUACAUCCUGAGUAGGGCUAGAUAAACAAAGAAUUUUUAUUGUUUUACACAAAGGCACCAAUCUGGGUGGGCAGGAUUUGGGAUAAGUAGGAAGACUGUAUACCAGUUAAAAUCCCAACAGGAAGGGGAUGGUAUAUUCAGAAUUCAGUUAAAGAUGAUUUACUGACUAGGCUAUCAGUAGGAAAAAUAGGCAAUAUGCAGAAAACCUAUAAAGGAUGGUGAAACAUCCAUGGGAGUAGAAACAAUGGGAAUUCAUUACUUCUUAGUAUGAAGGAACAAAGUGAAGGUCAUGGACUGCAAGGCUGCUCUGUAAAGGCUGCACUUCGAAACAGAAGAGUGGAGCACCAGAAUAGUUUAAAUACCCAACCAUCAUCCCCUCACACUUUCAUCUCUGGAAGCCAUGUUUCAUUGCUGAGCCCUUUUGUUAGCCACAGGGGAAAGGAGCUGGAAUAAGGAAGUGUGGCAAUUCCCAAUCCUGACUGAGCAUCUCAACUCUGUCCCAGGUCUGUGUAAUUGAUUGUGAAACUUACAAGUGGCACAUUCAUCAAUCUAUCAUGUUAAUAAUAAUUGCCUUGAGCAGAGAUGAUGAAACAUGACUUAUACUGCCAAGUUACGAUACCAUCAAUAAUUCAUGUAAUUGAUGAUAAAUAAAACAAUGUAAAAUGAAGGGGUAAUAAAAUAGGAUAGCAGGAAAAUACAAAGCUGACAUAAAGUAAAUACUUAAGAGAACAUUUAAGUUAAUGCAUAUUUUCCAGCUAAGUAAUAAAUAUCAAUUACUAAAAUGUGGCAUUGGAGACACGGGACAAAAAAUACACAGAUAUAUAUGCAUAUUAGACUAGCAGUUUUUUAACCUAUUUGAUACUUUGCAUGAAUGGAAAUAGCUCGGCAUGAAGCAAAGUUUGUUAAUCCAAUGUUUGGCCGUAUUUCACAAAACAGUGAUAAAAGCCAUAGGCAUGGUGCAGAACUUAACUCACAGUGUGGUUCUUCCUGCAUCAAAGGGGCAACACAUAUUGAUCUUGGCAUGGCAAUAAAGGUAAGCUGAAAGAAAUCGGGUUGAAAUUGUAUUUGCCGUCAAAAACUAUGCAACAAAAUUAGGUGAAGAGUGCAGAGGUUCUUAAUAAACACACAAAAAAUUUUUAUAUGCUAUUACUUAAAAUUACACAAGGCUUAUGUCAUUUCAGCUGUGGCAAACGUCUCACACUUUCCAGUUUACAUACCAAUGACACCUACUCGUGGAAGUUGGGUUCUCAGAGAGGGUUAUGGAGAGGAGACAGUCUGAGUGUGAGCUUUCAUCUAGUAUUCACAACAGCUUGACUAAAUCUCCAGCUCAAGACAUUGUUGCUCUCCAACAUUUACACUCCACAUAAUGCUAAAAAAAUUACAAGAUUGUACAUGUCGCUUCCCCAUUGUGGUAUGACGCCACUUGACUACAGAUUUUAAGAUCUAUUAAAUGAGAAUUUCAAGAAUUCUUGGCAUCUGAUUUAAGAAAAUCCAAGUCAUUUUUCCUGGGAAGCACUUGAGCAGGUGGAUUUUUUACCAAGCUGAGUGCUUUCCAUUUUCUGUUAUGACACUUAGUAUUUCCAGAAACAACCAUGUGGGACAGGCAGCAAAGAAUACACAUGUUUACUUGGGAUGAAAUAAUGCUCACCCAUGAAGUAAUAAUACCAUUUAAAUAUAUUAAGAUAAUAUAUAAUUGGGAAAUGUAAAGCUAUGUUUGGCAUUUUGGUCUUGGAUUUAUCUUCUGGAAUGAACUGUGUAUUGGUGGGUGAUACAGAAUUGAAGAGAAAAUGCACACAACUUAAACAUCAGUGUAGCUCUGUGUUUGCACUAACUACACAGGGGCAGUUUUUUAUGUUUUCUCUUUAAUAUUCUAGACAUGAUUUUAUUCAAUAUGAGCAAAUAGGUUUGAUAUUACGAACUUUUCUUAUGUCUUUAAAGGAAGGAAAAGAUUUAUUUUAUACUUUGCUUGCAGUGUAGAAAAAUGUUGAGGAAGAAACAGUGACCACUUUCUGAACUAAAUGUUAAAAAAAAAUGUGGUAUGUGAUUAAUAAUUUUAUCUAACACAUAAAUCCAAAAGUUAAAACUAUGGUGUAUUUUAAAAAAGCGUAUCUGAGAAUAUGUGUAAUUGGUGACAGUGUGCAAUUUUAUCAGAUUUCAGAUAAUAAAUUUUGUUUGAGAUCUCAGGUGUAAUUAUAAGACAAAUUUAAUAGGAAUAUAAACUGGUAAAAUCAUAAUAUUCUGAAACUGUCCCUGCUAAGUGUUUCUAGGAUUCACUUUACAGCAAAUCCACGUGGUUAUUGCCAAUUAAGAAAAACACAAGUUUUAUGGCAGCAUGUGCAUGUGCUAAUGAAAUACUUUUGUUUGGCUGCAAGAAUGCUUAGUCCUGGAUCCCUGAGUCCUCUUAGUUACCAGAGCCGCCACAUUCUGCUGAUCUCUAGAAACAUCUGCUUCCUUUCACUGCUGUAUCAUGAUAGCUACCGUGAUUUUUAGGGCACAGUUUUUCCCUCAAAAAUCAUUGUUUCACAUGUUUAUCUAGUCUUAUAGACCAGAAGUUCUCUGUUCAUAGAAUUCAUGCCUACUUCAUUAAUAUCUCUGCCACAACUACUGCAGCCAGAUUUCUCUGGACACCCUGUGCAUAUAGAAACUCUUCGUUUAGUAGAUGAUGACUAAUCACCGAGCCCAGCUCCCGUAUGUCUUAUAACAAAGACCAUUUGGUUAGAACAUUUGUAUGUACUUUUUCAAAUUUUUCCAACAAUUCAGAGCUGGAUUUCUCAAAAUAUGCCUCUAGGACAGGGAGCAUAAAUAUCACGUAGAAGUUGAUUGUUAGUGAUAAUUUUUUAAGGCAGAAUGACAUGGCAUAGACAGAAGUAUUGCCAAUCAGUGAAAAAGAAGCAAGGUAUAUGGUACAGUAGAAAUAAAAAAGAUAAACAUGUCCUAUUCCUGAGUUUCUUUACUGUCAUAUUGCUUCAAACAAAAACAUCUCAGUAUAGACAAGUGACCACGUUAAGUGUAAGGAAUGGGAUUUACUUUAUACGUGUAAGAAGGUUUUGAGACCCACUGCCAGGAUCUUUGAACAUUCUGUCAUUUUGCACUUAUUAGCCAACAAGCCAGGCUGCCAGAGUUUCAUGGACAUAGCCAGAAGACAGUCUUGUUCAGUGUGGAGCAAAAGGACUUUGUCAUUCACUGCAAUAAGAGCAUGAUUUUGCAGGCCACUUCUUCUGAAUGACCAUCUUUCAAGGUUCAGCCUGUAUUCCAGCCAAAGUGAUGUCGUUUUUGGUCAUCCAAGGAUAAAGGAAUUUCUAACUUGACAAACUACAUUUUUCUGGUUAUGAAAAUUAUUUGGAGAUUUAAGAUAUUUGUACUUUAUAUUUUUAAUUGUAUUUUCUCAUUUUUCUUCAUUUUCCAAUUUAGGUUUGUAGUUCCUUUGACAGAUGUUAUUUUGUGCGUCUAAGUAACCAUAUAAUUCUCUAAGACAGUACUUAGAAUAUCCAAAAGUCUCUCAAAAGUUCACUGUGGUUAGUAUAUUUUGCUUUUUUCACAUUAAAAUAAUUCAAAUCUGAAGAAAAUGUGGUGCAUUUACAUAAUGGAAUAUUACUUAGCUGUAAGAAACAAUGACAUCAUGAAAUUUGCGCAUAAAUGGAUGGAACUAGAAAAAAAUCAUUCUGAGUGAGGUAACUCAGACCCAGAAAGACAAACAUGGUAUGUACUCACUCAUAAGUAGAUAGUAAGUGUAAAAUAAAGGAUAACCAGACUAUAAUCCACAGCUCCAGAGAGGCUAGGUAAUAAGGAGGGCCCAAAGAGGGAUUCAUGGAUUUCCCUGGGAAGGCAAAUAGAAGAGAUCUCCUGGGUAAAUGGGGUGGAAGGGCAUGAGGAAUCUGGUUGGGUGGGUUAGGGGUGAAAUAGAGGGGGAGAGUAAAGAAAGCGAUGUCUUUUGGGGGGGCAUUUGGGGGUUAGGGAGAAACCUGGUUCCAGGGAAAAUCCCAGUAAUUCACAAGGAUGAUCCCAGCUAAGACUCCUAGCAAUAGUGGAGAGGGUGCCUGAAGUGGUCUUCUCCUGUAAUCAGAUUGGUAAGUACCCUAAUUGUCACUAGAGAGUCUUUAUCCAGUAACUGAUGGUGGCAGAUGCAAAGAUCCACAGCCAAACACUGGGCCAAGCUCCAGGAGUUCUGCUGAAGAGAGGGGGGACCAGAUUGUAUGAGCCAGUGGGAACAAGGUCAUGACAGAGGAAUUCAUAGAAACAGCUAACCUGAGGUCCUUGGAGCUCAAGGACUCUGGACUAACAGCUAGGGAGCCUGCAUGGGACCAACCUAGGCCCUCUGCAUGUGUGUGACAGUUGUGUGGCUGAGUCUGUUUGUGGGGCCCCUAGCAGUGGGAUCAGGACCUGGGAAGCUGGUUUUGGGGAACCUAUUCCCCAUGCUGAGUUGCUUUGCCCAGCCUGGAUUCAGGGGGAGAGGCUUGGUCCUGCCUGAACUUGAUGUGCCAUGCUUUGUUGACUGCCAUAUGAGGCCUGCCCCUUUCUGAAUGGAGACAGAGGAGGAGUGAAUGGGGGGGGUAGGUGGGAGACAGGGGGAAUAGGAGGAGGGGAGAUAUGGGAAACUGUAGUUGGUAUGUAAAUAAAUGAAAAAAAUUAAUUAAUAAAAUUAAAAAAAUAAUCCAAAUGAAACUACCCCAACAACACAAAAUCUAGAAAGACAAAGAUAUCAUGCUAAUAAAAUUACAUUGUAAGUAAAACAGUUCUUUGAUCUUCCAUUGGAUGUCACCUUAAAUACUUUUUUUUGAUUUUAUAAUAUGAAUUUUUUUAAAGAUUAAGUAUAUUCAUAUAUUUCUUUUGUUACUUUAAAAAAUAUAAUAUUUUUAGUUGUGUAGGUAAAGGGGAGUAUGUGCAUGAGGCAGGAGGUACCUGCAGAGGUCAGAAGAGGGCACUAUAUCUUUUGGAACUGGAGUUACAGGCAGUUAGGAGCUGCCAGACAUGGGUGCUGGGAACUGAACUCAAGUCCCCUGGAAGAGUAGCAGGUGCACUUACCACUAAGCUGUCUUGCCAACUCCUUUAGAAUAUUAUUUUAAGAUGUGUUACAUUUGUUUAUGCUGUGGAACAUUUGUUUAAUGAUGCAAAGAUGUACUGCAUUCAUUGCAUCUGUUUAACUCUGUGAAGCUGUGUUACUGUGCCUGCCUAAAACACCUGAUGGUCUAAUAAAAAGUUGAACAGUCAAUAACAAGACAAGUGAAAGGAUAGGCAGGGCUGGCAGGCAGAGAGAAUAAACAGAAGGAGAAACAUGGGAGAAAAAAGAAGUAAUCAGAGAAGGAGAAGGACAUCAGGGACCAGCCACCCAGCCACUCAGCCAGCCAUAGAGUGUAAGUAAGAUAAACAGAAGUAAGAAAAGGAAAAAUGCCCAGAGGCAAAAGGUAGAUGGGAUAAUUUAAAGUCAAGAAAAGCUGGCAAGCAACAAGCCAAGCUAAGGCCAGGCAUUUAUAAUGAAUAAUGAGCUUCCAUGUAAUUUAUUUGGGUGCUCAGUGGAGGGCCCCCAAAAGAGCCAAAGAGUAAAAAAUGAACAACAACCAUUUGGUGCCCAAUGUGGGGCCAUAGAAAGCUGAACAACAAUUUGGUGCCCAACAUGGGGGUCAAAUUUCCAUAGUGCAUGAGAAAGCUUAAAAAAAAAAAAGACACAGCUCUGCUCCUUUAAGAAGUGGAGCCAGCCGGGCCGUGGUGGCGCACGCCUUUAAUCCCAGCACUCGGGAGGCAGAGCCAGGCGGAUCUCUGUGAGUUCAAGGCCAGCCUGGGCUACCAAGUGAGUUCCAGGAAAGGCACAAAGCUACACAGGGAAACCCUGUCUCGAAAAAAAACCAAAAAAAAAAAAAAAAGAAGUGGAGCCAUUAAGCCAGCUGCGAUAAAUAAAAUCAGCAAACUAAGUAAAAACUGCUUGUGGCAAAGCAGGUACUGGCUUCUGUGGUGAUAUUUUGUUUGUGCUCUAACAAAUAAAGCUUGCCUGGAGAUCAGAGUGAGAAGUUAGCCACUAGUUAACCAUAGAGGCCAGGCAGUGGUGGCACUCACCUUUAAUCCCAGCACUUGGGAUCUCAUGCCUUUGAUCCCAGUACUUGGGAGGCACAUGUAUUUAAUCCCAACACUAAGGAGGAGGAAACAGGAAAUGACAUGGCUGGGCAGAAAGAGGAAUAUAAGGUGGGUGGAGACAGGAGCUUGGCCCCCCUUUCAGGCUGAGGAGUAGGUGAGGCAAGAAGUGGCUGUGGCUAACUCUUUUGUCUUUUUGAUCUUUCAGCAUUUACUCCUAUAUAUGACUCUGGGUGUUUAUUAUUAACACCAAUUGUGAGUCAUGCCACAGGCUUCCUACAGCUUGAAAGGUUGAAUGUACUUCCUGGUCAUGCACCUCCAAUCUGACCACAAGUUUUAGGCUUGGCUUUCAUGACCUCAAAAGCAGGUGGAGGCAGCCACCAAAGCCCUGUGGAGGUCCGUGAUGCUUAGUAGUCUAAAGGUUUGCUCACACAGUCAAAAUAGACUAAAAGAAAUGCAGUAAAAGAGAUCCAGAUUGUAAAAAAAAAAUUUAAACAGGUUCCAGUGUGUUUUACAAUGUAUAUAGACUUAAGAAAGAAUGAAUAUGGGUAUUAACAGUUAUAGAAAGAAGAAAUAGUUUAGAACUAGUAAAGUCUUUAGAGAGAGGGUAAAAGUAAUAUAAAAGAAAAAGCCAUGUAAAGAUGGGAAAUACACAGGGAGUCUGGAUCCUGUAUGUUAUUGUGUUGAUUUUGAAUUUUUGAAUGUUAAUAAGCAAACAAUAGCUACUAAGAGACAUGGGAUUGUGAAGUGGACUGCCUAAUUGAACCAACCUGGAUACUUUAGGAAUGCCUUAACUUUAAAAAAGAAAUUUUAAAAAAGUUUUACUUUGGGAAAGAGGUUUUGCUUUUGUUUCCAAAGGAAACAAGAAGAUGUGGAUUUGUUCCAGGUUAAUAUGGAUCAGGUUUGAUCAAGGGAGAUCUCCUGAACCUUGACAGGUGAUAUCUAUCAAUAAAGAUUUUAGCUUGUCUUCCCAAAACUUGGCGAUUAUCUCAAAUUUUCUCUCUGGGACCCUAAAGAUGCUUUAUCCACAGACAGCUGGAAGCAAUUUGGAGAAUACUAUGCCCACAUUCCCAAGAUGGGUAUGGGAGGCUUUUAGUUAUUUAGUGGGUUAUGGAUGCUUGUUAACAUUUAGGGGAAUAUGGAAAUGAUGAGAUAAAAAGGUAGGUUACUAAAUCUACUUUAAAUAAUAGGGUAGAUUAUUGAAUCUACUGUAAACUUAAAGACAACUAUAGAUUUCAGGUAUUUAUAUUUGUAGGAACUUUUGCAUAUCAUAAAUUUAAGGUAAUUUUUAUUACAACACACUGUAUAUAUGCUUUUACUCUUAUUAAAGGAUUUUUGUAUAUUGAUACAAAUUUAAGGUUAUUUUUGUUACAACAUAGUGUAUAUAUGUUUCUACUCUUGUUUAAGGUAUUGUACCUAUGCAGUUCAUUUCAAAAUGCAAGGUAAAAUUCUAGUUUUUGAAAACUAUUAUUAUGAACUAUUUUAGAUAAUCAAGAAACACAGGUCAGUAGUUAGUCAUUUAUAACAAUCAAAUUUGUAGAUAUGUUAGGCAUGCUUUCUAGAUCUUACAGAGACAUAGUUUAGAUAGAGCAAUGGUUUCCAAAUACUUCUAAGACCGAUAGAAUGUGGCAUUUAAAAUGUUUUGUUAACAUAAGUGUGGUGAUAUUUUAUUUGUGCUUUGAUAAAUAAAGCUUGCCUGGAGAUCAGGGGGGAAAAGUCAGUCAUUUUAAGUAAACAAGGUCAGGCAGCACAUGUCCUUAAUCUGAUCACUUAGCAGGCAGGGUUUCUGUGUGUUCAAGGCCAUACUUGGGAAUAGAGCCAAGCAUGGUGACACACGCCUUUAAUCCAGUACCAAUCAUAGAGACCUGGAGGUCUAUACAGACAGGCAGUGACAAGGAAAUGAGGUAGCUGGGCUGAGAGCCAAUGAAAAGGCAGAAAAGCAAGGCAUAUGAAGAUGUGGGUAGACAGGAAGUAGCUAACAUUUAGAAUCUUCAGAGCUGGUGAGAUAAAGUUGUCUGGUGGCUAUUUCUAUUUCCAUGAUCUCUAAGGCUUUCACCCCUAUAUUUGGCUGUGUUUUUUAUUUAAUAAGACCAUUUAGAAAUUCAUCUAUACCUAAGUUUUUUCAUGACAAUGUGCUGUGGGAUGGUCUGUAUGUCAAAUGUGUUGCUGAUUGGUCAAUGAAUAAAUCACUGAUUGGCAGUGGUCAGGCAGGAAGUAUAGGCGGGACUAACAGAGAGGAAAAUUGAGAGAACAGGAAGUUGGGUGAGGAGACACUGCCAGCCGCCAUCAGGACAAGGAAGAUGUAAAGUACUGGUAAGCCACAAGCCACGUGGCAAGGUAUAGAUUAAUAGAAAUGGAUUAAUUUAAGCUGUAAGAACAGUUAGCAAGAAGCCUGCCACGGCCAUACAGUUUGUAACCAAUAUAAGUCUCUGUGUUUAUUUGAUCGGGUUUGAGCGGCUUGGGACUGGCGGGUGAGAGAGAUUUGCCCUGACUGUGGGCCAGGCAGGAAAACUCCAGCUACAAAUGGCGUCCAACGUGGUGGCAAGAGUUUCCACCUAAAACCUGAGAAAAAAGAUUCUAAAACGGAGCUAAAAACAGCUUCCUAAUUGUCUCUCUCAAAUGAGCAGCAGCUGCCGGUUUGAGCUACUGGCGGGUUGCUGGCGUGCGCGUUCGAUCUGCAGUAUGGCGGGAAUGAGGCCUCUGCAAGUGGCACAUUAAGCUACAUUGUGGAUUUAGCCUUUGCUAGUACAAAACAAAAAAAGAGGUUUCUGGGCUACAUGCUGCUUGUAUAAAAACAUAGACCCACGAUGGCUCCCAGAGCUGGUGGUAAGCAUAAUGCCGCCAUGUUGGGAAGCUGAGGUGGGCGGAGCCAGCAGCCACAGCUGCUGCAGCUUAAAGCAACAGAUUCACAAUAAGACAGAUUCAGAUGUAAUAGUUUAAAAUGUGUGUAAAAUAUACGUAGGCUUGAAAGAGACAAAAAAAGGUGAUAUAUACAGUAUAGAAACAAAUACAUGGUUUUAAAAAAUAAAGUCUUUAAAGAGACAGUAAAAUUAAUAUAAAAAAUAAGCCACGUAGAGAUGACUAUUACACAGAGAGUCUGGAUUGUGUUGUCUUUGGGAUUCUUAACUACAGAGAGAUAUUUGAUUGUAAAGGAAGCUGAGUUAAACCAGUAUGUAUAUUUUAAAGAUACUUUGACUUCAAAAUUUGGAUGUAAGGAUAUGUUGCUUUGGAAAAGAGUCUCUUUUGUUUCCACAGAAAGCAAGAGGCUAUGGAUUUGUUCCAGAGUAAGAUACAUCAGGUUUGACCAGCCAAGACCCCCUGAAAGGUCUCCGAUGACACCAUGGCCCAGAUGAUUCAACAUCCAGAACCAUUUCAAGGCAACUGGCUCAGACGAAUACACCCUCAUGGACUACUCCAUAAUCCUAAAAUUUUCUUUGUUUCCCCUGAAGAUACAGCGCCCCCCUCCAGCAGGAAGUAGUAAGAGAAGCUACGCCCAAAUUCCCAAAUAUACCAAGCUGACUUUGGAGAUGUGUAAAGGUUAAAACCUUCCUUUUUAAGAAAAGAAAAGGGGAGGUGCUGUGGGAUGGUCUGUAUGUCAAAUGUGUUGCUGAUUGGUCAAUAAAUAAAUCACUGAUUGGCCCGUGGCCAGGCAGGAAGUAUAGGCGGGACAAGGAGGAGAAUAGAGCUGGGAAGUGGAAGGCUGAGUCAGAGAGACACUGCCAGCCGCCAUCAGGAUAAGGAAGAUGUAAAGUACCGGUAAGCCACAAGCCACGUGGCAAGGUAUAGAUUAAUAGAAAUGGAUUAAUUUAAGCUGUAAGAACAGUUAGCAAGAAGCCUGCCACGGCCAUACAGUUUGAAACCAAUAUAAGUCUCUGUGUUUAUUUGAUCGGGUUUAAGCGGCUUGGGACUGGCGGGUGUCAGAGAUUUGUCCUGACUGUGGGCCAGGCAGGAAAACUCUAGCAACAACAAUGAGAUGCAUCUGCUCUAGGCAGGUACCAAUUUACUUCAGAGAUUCUGGGUAUUGGUGAAACUCCUUAUGGAGUUCGCUUUCAUUGUAGCAAGGUUAGCCACUGGGCAAAGAAACUGCUCAUGCUUUUGACUGCUGGCAAUGUUCUGUGCAGACUGGACAUGCAGGACACACAGGAAAAAGACUGUUGAACUUUGCCAAAACAAGGCUGGACAGUCCUUCAAAAUUCCUACUUCACAGAAGAGUCUGCCAGAUAUUUUGCAGGACACAGAAGAAAGCAACUGACAAACUUUGCCAAUACAAGGCAGGACAGUCCUUCAAAUUUCCUGCUUCACUGAAAAGUUUGCCAGAUAUUCUAGGCCUGUAGGCUAAAGAUGGAUACCCCAACUUUGCAGAGGAACUUUGGGUGACUGUCCAGGCAGCCAUAUUUCUCCAUCAGAUAGUAUUACAUCCUCCUGAGUCUUCGAUGAAGUUAAAGACUAGAUAGUUAUUGU